rnacentral:rRNA from 1 species
UACGUAGGGGGCUAGCGUUGUCCGGAAUCAUUGGGCGUAAAGAGCGUGUAGGCGGUCCGGUAAGUCCGCUGUGAAAGUCGGGGGCUCAACCCUCGAAUGCCGGUGGAUACUGUCGGGCUAGAGUGCGGAAGAGGCGAGUGGAAGUUCCUGGUGUAGCGGUGAAAUGCGCAGAGUAUCGGGAGGAACACCAAUGGCGAAGGCAGCUCGCUGGGACGGUACUGACGCUGAGACGCGAAAGCGUGGGAGCAAACAGG